UACGAAGGGAGCUAGCGUUGUUCGGAAUCACUGGGCGUAAAGCGUGCGCAGGCGGCUUAACAAGUCAGAGGUGAAAUGCCAGGGCUCAACCCUGGAACUGCCUUUGAAACUGUUUCGCUAGAGGACUGGAGGGGUUAGGGGAAUUUCUAAUGUAGCGGUGAAAUGCGUAGAUAUUAGAAGGAACACCAGUGGCGAAGGCGCCUAACUGGACAGUCUCUGACGCUCAUGCACGAAAGCGUGGGAGCAAACAGG
rnacentral:rRNA from 1 species